GAACAGGACAAGCAAAAUAUCCUGCCUUCAUGCAGCAUAAAUUCCAACAGGUGACUGGAACUGAUUUGACAUAACCAUCGUAUGCAUGGAGAAGCUGAGAACAGUAAUCUGCAGAAGCAAAAGUAUGAAACAGCCGGGCAAAGAUGCACAGAGGGGUCAAAGCAUCGUAGAACCACAGAUGUGAAAGAACUGCGGAGAGGACGUUCUCCAGGAGGGACAUCAUUAACUCAACCCGGGCGAGAGACUAGGCUUUGACCAGGCUUUCCAACCCACGCAGCUUCAGCUUCCAUCAAGCCCAUCCUAACCACAACGAACACAAGGCAAGGCAAACAAGCAAAACAUAAUAAAGAUCAGAGAGAACACAG
rnacentral:lncRNA from 1 species